rnacentral:rRNA from 1 species
AGCUCCAAUAGCGUAUAUUAAAGUUGUUGCGGUUAAAAAGCUCGUAGUUGGAUUUCUGUUGAGGACGACCGGUCCGCACUAUGUGCGUGUAUCUGGUUCGGCCUUGGCAUCCUCCAGGGGAACAGUGCUGCGCUUGAUUGCGUGGUCUGGUAUUCUGGACUUUUACUUUGAGGAAAUUAGAGUGUUUACGGCAGGCAAUCGCCUUGAAUAUAUUAGCAUGGAAUAAUAAUAUAGGACCUUGGGUCUAUUGUUGGUUUCUAGAUCUAAGGUAAUGAUUAAUAGGGAUAAUUGGGGGCAUUCGUAUUAACACGUCAGAGGUGAAAUUCUUGGAUUGUGUUACGACGAACUACUGCGAAAGCAUUUGCCAAGGAUGUUUUCA